GACGAACGCUGGCGGCGUGCCUAAUACAUGCAAGUGGGACGCAAGGGAACACACUGUGCUUGCACACCGUGUUUUCUUGAGUCGCGAACGGGUGAGUAACGCGUAGGUAACCUGCCUAUUAGCGGGGGAUAACUAUUGGAAACGAUAGCUAAUACCGCAUAAUAUUAAUUAUUGCAUGAUAAUUGAUUGAAAGAUGCAAGCGCAUCACUAGUAGAUGGACCUGCGUUGUAUUAGCUAGUUGGUAAGGUAAGAGCUUACCAAGGCGACGAUACAUAGCCGACCUGAGAGGGUGAUCGGCCACACUGGGACUGAGACACGGCCCAGACUCCUACGGGAGGCAGCAGUAGGGAAUCUUCGGCAAUGGACGAAAGUCUGACCGAGCAACGCCGCGUGAGUGAAGAAGGUUUUCGGAUCGUAAAGCUCUGUUGUAAGUCAAGAACGUGUGUGAGAGUGGAAAGUUCAC
rnacentral:rRNA from 1 species